rfam:Larimichthys crocea isolate SSNF unplaced genomic scaffold scaffold1065, whole genome shotgun sequence.
GGUAUUGGCCCAACGUGAGCAUUGACUUGACUAUUGGAUUCAGUAAGUGCUACUUGUUGGGGCGGUUGUA